GACGAACGCUGGCGGCGUGCUUAACACAUGCAAGUCGAACGGAAAGGCCCUGCUUUUGUGGGGUGCUCGAGUGGCGAACGGGUGAGUAACACGUGAGUAACCUGCCCUUGACUUUGGGAUAACUUCAGGAAACUGGGGCUAAUACCGGAUAGGAGCUCCUGCUGCAUGGUGGGGGUUGGAAAGUUUCGGCGGUUGGGGACGGACUCGCGGCUCAUCAGCUUGUUGGUGGGGUAGUGGCUUACCAAGGCUUUGACGGGUAGCCGGCCUGAGAGGGUGACCGGCCACAUUGGGACUGAGAUACGGCCCAGACUCCUACGGGAGGCAGCAGUGGGGAAUAUUGCACAAUGGGCGGAAGCCUGAUGCAGCAACGCCGCGUGCGGGAUGACGGCCUUCGGGUUGUAAACCGCUUUCGCCUGUGACGAAGCGUGAGUGACGGUAAUGGGUAAAGAAGCACCGGCUAACUACGUG
rnacentral:rRNA from 1 species